ACAAAAUGGCCGUGGUUGUGGGGACCAUAACGGAUGACAUGCAGAUUCAGGAGGUCCCCAAACUGAAGGUAUCUGCACUGCGCGUGACCAGCCGGGCCCACAGCCGCAUCCUCAGGGCAGGGGGCAAGAUCCUCACUUUCGACCAGCUGGCCCUGGACUCCCCCAAGGGCUGUGGCACUGUCCUGCUCUCCGGUCCUCGCAAGGGCAUCUGGGCAAGGCCCCAGGAACCCCGCACAGCCACACCAAAGCCUACCUCUGCUCCAAGGGCCAGAAGUUCGAGCGUGCCAGAGCCCAACUGGUCAGCCCAGGCUACAAAAACUAACCCUGGAUCCUACUCUCUUAUUAAAAAGAUUUU